UACGAAGGGGGCUAGCGCUGCUCGGAAUCACUGGGCGUAAAGCGCACGUAGGCGGAUUGCUAAGUCAGGGGUGAAAUCCUGGAGCUCAACUCCAGAACUGCCUUUGAUACUGGCGAUCUCGAGUCCGGGAGAGGUGAGUGGAACUGCGAGUGUAGAGGUGAAAUUCGUAGAUAUUCGCAAGAACACCAGUGGCGAAGGCGGCUCACUGGCCCGGUACUGACGCUGAGGUGCGAAAGCGUGGGGAGCAAACAGG
rnacentral:rRNA from 1 species